AGGUGAUGCAGGUCAUCGGUGGUGAGCCCGCAGCUGCUGAGGCGGAGCUCCACAAUUACGGACGGCUGCAGAGCAUCCAGCAACAGCGGCAAGCGACCGCCGACCACUUUACACCAAGAAACAUCCACACUGCGCAGGGCAGUGAAGGACUCCUCAUUCAGCCUGCAGCUGUUGAGCGGCAGCCUCCUCAUCUGAGUCAGUGGGAGCACAGAGACCAGCUGGUGGACCACGCAUCCUGCUUCCUUAUUUGACGAAACGUUGACCUCUGUCAGCGCAGUCAGAGAGGGCAGCACCUGGACUGGAGAGAGCAAGGGAUGUGAACGCUGCAGGAAAACGCACACUCUUCCCCAGCCAGCGUCACGCUCGCUCUGCACCGAGGCUCCAACACCUGAAAAACACCACAACCACCUGAAUGCAGCUGCACCACCUUUGCUUAUUUUUUACCUUCAUAAACUCUCUUGUUGAGUGUUUUACAGGAAGCUUUGUGCUUCUCAUCUGCUCUUGUUGGUUUGUGUGUCUUUCAUGGUUCCCUCUUUGACACAAAUCAGAGUCUUUGAAAAUAAGUCUGCAGUUGCUACAUCAUUUUGCAUCAUUAAAAUCUAUCUCUCUGUAGCUGUUUUUGUUCAUUUGUAAUUUGUUUUUCCUUGUUUUGUGUCUCUUAACGCCUUCAGGCCCAAUAUUUUCAAGUUAAAGCUCUAUCAGCUCUAUUGCAAUCAUUUUGAGUUUGAUUUAAAGGUAUCUCAGCUUUUU